GGGUAAGGAGAUAAUAAAGAUCUGACAGAGAGGACAUCCGUCAUCGAUUAAGAUGAACAUAUCAAGGAUGACUCGUUGGGAACUGCCAGGAGGAAGAAUUCAUUACCAGUUACUGGGUAAGAAUAACCUUGUUGGGGAAACUGCAGAAAAGAGUAGGAUUUACAACUACCAGUUACUGGGCAGAAGACCAAAGGUGAGAGUAUCCGUCAUCGGUUAGGAUGAACAUAUCAAGGAUAAAC
rnacentral:lncRNA from 1 species